CGGCGGACGGGUGAGUAAUGUCUGGGAAACUGCCCGAUGGAGGGGGAUAACUACUGGAAACGGUAGCUAAUACCGCGUAACGUCGCAAGACCAAAGAGGGGGACCUUCGGGCCUCUUGCCAUCGGAUGUGCCCAGAUGGGAUUAGCUAGUAGGUGGGGUAACGGCUCACCUAGGCGACGAUCCCUAGCUGGUCUGAGAGGAUGACCAGCCACACUGGAACUGAGACACGGUCCAG
rnacentral:rRNA from 1 species